rnacentral:rRNA from 1 species
UAGGGAAUCUUCGGCAAUGGACGAAAGUCUGACCGAGCAACGCCGCGUGAGUGAAGAAGGUUUUCGGCUCGUAAAACUCUGUUGUUAGAGAAGAACAAGGACGUUAGUAACUGAACGUCCCCUGACGGUAUCUAACCAGAAAGCCACGGCUAACUACGUGCCAGCAGCCGCGGUAAUACGUAGGUGGCAAGCGUUGUCCGGAUUUAUUGGGCGUAAAGCGAGCGCAGGCGGUUUCUUAAGUCUGAUGUGAAAGCCCCCGGCUCAACCGGGGAGGGUCAUUGGAAACUGGGAGACUUGAGUGCAGAAGAGGAGAGUGGAAUUACAUGUGUAGCGGUGAAAUGCGUAGAUAUAUGGAGGAACACCAGUGGCGAAGGCGGCUCUCUGGUCUGUAACUGACGCUGAGGCUCGAAAGCGUGGGGAGCAAACAGG